UACGUAUGGUGCAAGCGUUAUCCGGAUUUACUGGGUGUAAAGGGAGCGUAGGCGGCGCGUUAAGUCUGAUGUGAAAACCCGAGGCUCAACCACGGGAGUGCAUUGGAAACUGGCGGGCUGGAGUGCCGGAGAGGUAAGCGGAAUUCCUAGUGUAGCGGUGAAAUGCGUAGAUAUUAGGAGGAACACCAGUGGCGAAGGCGGCUUACUGGACUGCAACUGACACUGAGGCUCGAAAGUGUGGGUAUCAAACAGG
rnacentral:rRNA from 1 species